rnacentral:rRNA from 1 species
CAAGCGUUAUCCGGAAUCAUUGGGCGUAAAGCGCCUGUAGGUUGUUUAAUAAGUCUGUUGUUAAAGACUAGGGCUUAACCCUAGAAAAGCAAUGGAAACUACUAGACUAGAGUAUGGCAGGGGUAGAGGGAAUUUCUAGUGUAGCGGUGAAAUGCGUAGAUAUUAGAAAGAACACCAGCGGCGAAAGCGCUCUACUGGACCAUUACUGACACUCAGAGGCGAAAGCUAGGGUAGCAAAAGGGAUUAGAUACCCCUGUAGUCUUAGCCGUAAACGAUGGAUACUAGAUGUUGUGCAUAUCGUACAGUAUCAUAGCUAACGCGUUAAGUAUCCCGCCUGGGGAGUACGCUCGCAAGGGUGAAACUCAAAGGAAUUGACGGGGGCCCGCACAAGCGGUGGAGCAUGUGGUUUAAUUCGAUGCAACGCGAAGAACCUUACCAGGGCUUGACAUACUACAAAUUCUUUUGAGAAAAGGAAGUGCCUUCGGGAAUGUAGAUACAGGUGGUGCAUGGCUGUCGUCAGCUCGUGUCGUGAGAUGUUGGGUUAAGUCCCGCAACGAGCGCAACCCUUAUUUUUAGUUACUAACUCGUUAGGUUUUCUAGAAAGACUGCCGGUGACAAACCGGAGGAAGGUGAGGAUGACGUCAAGUCAGCAUGCCCCUUAUGUCCUGGGCUACACACGUGCUACAAUGGUUAAGACAAAGAGUCGCGAGCUCGCAAGAGUCAGCUAAUCUCAUAAACUUAGCCUAAGUUCAGAUUGUAGGCUGCAA